UCCGAUAUGGUAUAGUGGCCAACAUGAUGCCCUCUCAUUAACUUGCAAGGCUAGGCAUAGCCCCGAGUUCGAUUCUCGGUUUCGGAA
rnacentral:tRNA from 1 species